GCAAACUUGGUCAUUUAGAGGAAGUAAAAGUCGUAACAAGGUCUCCGUUGGUGAACCAGCGGAGGGAUCAUUACAGGAGCUUUAAACACUCCCAAACCAUUGUCUACCUACCUUUUGUUGCUUUGGCAGGCGGCCCCUGGGAGGGGCUGUAGCCUCCUCGCGAGGUGUCUGCCGAAGGUUUUAAACUCUGAAGUUUCAGUUAUCUGAGUCUCUAUAAAAAUAAUCAAAACUUUCAACAACGGAUCUCUUGGUUCUGGCAUCGAUGAAGAACGCAGC
rnacentral:misc_RNA from 1 species